AGCCACCAUUAGAGCGAAACUUGUAAACCUUGGAGAUAAUGAAUUGUGAGCUAAGUAUUUCGGAAAUUAAUCUGAAAACUCGUAAAACUUUUGUUAACCUUGGUGAUUACAAGAUUAUUUUCUUCACCAGAAAGGAAGUUGAAACUUUCAAUGUACUAAGUAAACUGUACCCUUUUUCUCUGUGCUUUGGCCAAAUGCCAAUGUUUUACUUCUUUAUGUUCACUACAUGUUCUGCUUUGGCUUCAUUUCAUAAUAUCCUGAAUACAUUUUGAUAAUACAUAUAGUAAAAUCAAUUCUUUUCAAAAAUUUCAUUACACCAAAAAUCAGGAUAUUUCAUAUACAAUAUUUAUUAUAAUAAACCCAAUCCCACUUUCGGUUAUAUUGGGGAUACGUAGCCUAAGUAAGGCGUAGUCUUGUUGGCACAUGUUUUUGUGAACACGUUUCUAGGUAGUUGAUAGGAGUUAUCUGGUCUAGAGAGCACAUGACCGGAUCAGAUGGUAGGCUAGUUGAUAUGCUUCAUUAAGCAUGGUGGGUUUCUGCUAACGGGCCGAAAAUCAUGGCCUGAGCCGUCAUGAUACAGUGAGCAUAUAUCUUGGUAUGGAUGAUAAUAAUUGUAGAAAUUCACCUAUUAUAAGCAUGUCGACGAAGAUA
rnacentral:lncRNA from 1 species